AGUCGAACGGUAGCACGAAGUAACUUGCUACCCCUGCUGACGAGUGGCGGACGGGUGAGUAAUGUCUGGGAAACUGCCUGAUGGAGGGGGAUAACUACUGGAAACGGUAGCUAAUACCGCAUAACGUCGCAAGACCAAAGAGGGGGACCUUCGGGCCUCUUGCCAUCAGAUGUGCCCAGAUGGGAUUAGCUAGUAGGUGGGGUAACGGCUCACCUAGGCGACGAUCCCUAGCUGGUCUGAGAGGAUGACCAGCCACACUGGAACUGAGACACGGUCCAGACUCCUACGGGAGGCAGCAGUGGGGAAUAUUGCACAAUGGGCGCAAGCCUGAUGCAGCCAUGCCGCGUGUAUGAAGAAGGCCUUCGGGUUGUAAAGUACUUUCAGCGGGGAGGAAGGUGGUGAGGUUAAUAACCUCAUCAAUUGACGUUACCCGCAGAAGAAGCACCGGCUAACUCCGUGCCAGCAGCCGCGGUAAUACGGAGGGUGCAAGCGUUAAUCGGAAUUACUGGGCGUAAAGCGCACGCAGGCGGUCUGUCAAGUCGGAUGUGAAAUCCCCGGGCUCAACCUGGGAACUGCAUUCGAAACUGGCAGGCUAGAGUCUUGUAGAGGGGGGUAGAAUUCCAGGUGUAGCGGUGAAAUGCGUAGAGAUCUGGAGGAAUACCGGUGGCGAAGGCGGCCCCCUGGACAAAGACUGACGCUCAGGUGCGAAAGCGUGGGGAGCAAACAGGAUUAGAUACCCUGGUAGUCCACGCCGUAAACGAUGUCGAUUUGGAGGUUGUGCCCUUGAGGCGUGGCUUCCGGAGCUAACGCGUUAAAUCGACCGCCUGGGGAGUACGGCCGCAAGGUUAAAACUCAAAUGAAUUGACGGGGGCCCGCACAAGCGGUGGAGCAUGUGGUUUAAUUCGAUGCAACGCGAAGAACCUUACCUGGUCUUGACAUCCACAGAACUUAGCAGAGAUGCUUUGGUGCCUUCGGGAACUGUGAGACAGGUGCUGCAUGGCUGUCGUCAGCUCGUGUUGUGAAAUGUUGGGUUAAGUCCCGCAACGAGCGCAACCCUUAUCCUUUGUUGCCAGCGGUUAGGCCGGGAACUCAAAGGAGACUGCCAGUGAUAAACUGGAGGAAGGUGGGGAUGACGUCAAGUCAUCAUGGCCCUUACGACCAGGGCUACACACGUGCUACAAUGGCGCAUACAAAGAGAAGCGACCUCGCGAGAGCAAGCGGACCUCAUAAAGUGCGUCGUAGUCCGGAUUGGAGUCUGCAACUCGACUCCAUGAAGUCGGAAUCGCUAGUAAUCGUAGAUCAGAAUGCUACGGUGAAUACGUUCCCGGGCCUUGUACACACCGCCCGUCACACCAUGGGAGUGGGUUGCAAAAGAAGUAGGUAGCUUAACCUCGGAGGCGCU
rnacentral:rRNA from 1 species